rnacentral:rRNA from 1 species
GAUAAACGUUUGCGGUGCGCCUUAUGCAUGCAAGUUGUACGGGGUUAUAGUUUUCGGACUAUAAUCUAGUGGCGAACGGCUGAGUAACGCGUAAAUAACCUGCCUCUAAGUGGGGGAUAACCUGUCGAAAGAUAGGCUAAUACCGCAGUGGUAAUCAGGGAUUUCUUGGUUACUAAAGCCUUAGGGUGCUUAGUGAGGGGUUUGCGUCUGAUUAGCUAGUUGGCAGGGUAAUGGCCUACCAAAGCGAUGAUCAGUAGCUGGUCUGAGAGGAUGUCCAGCCAGAUGGGGACUGAGAUACGGCCCCAACUCCUAUGGGAGGCAGCAGCAAGGGAUAUUGGGCAAUGGGCGAAAGCCUGACCCAGCGACACCGCGUGAGGGAAGAAGGCCUUCGGGUUGUAAACCUCUUUUCUUGAGGAAGAAAUUUGACGGUACUCGAGGAAUAAGUCUCGGCUAACUACGUGCCAGCAGCCGCGGUAAUACGUAGGAGGCAAACGUUAUCCGGAUUUACUGGGCGUAAAGAGAGCGUAGGCGGUUUUUUAAGUCAGGUGUGAAAUUUUCUGGCUCAACCAGAAAACGUCAUCUGAUACUAUUGGGCUUGAGGGCAGCAGAAGGAAAUGGAAUUCCCAGUGUAGCGGUGAAAUGCGUUGAUAUUGGGAAGAACACCAGUGGCGAAGGCGAUUUCCUAGGUUGUUCCUGACGCUGAGGCUCGAAAGCGUGGGGAGCGAAGCGGAUUAGAUACCCGCGUAGUCCACGCCGUAAACGGUGGACACUAGAUAUGGGGAGUAUCGACCCUUUUCGUGUCGAAGCUGACGCUUUAAGUGUCCUGCCUGGGGAGACGGCCGCAAGGCU